GACGAACGCUGGCGGCGUGCUUAACACAUGCAAGUCGAACGGAAAGGCCCCUUUGGGGGUACUCGAGUGGCGAACGGGUGAGUAACACGUGAGUAACCUGCCCUUGACUUCGGGAUAACUUCAGGAAACUGGGGCUAAUACCGGAUAGGAAUCCUUGCUGCAUGGUGGGGGUUGGAAAGCUUCGGCGGUUUUGGAUGGACUCGCGGCUUAUCAGCUUGUUGGUGGGGUAGUGGCUUACCAAGGCUUUGACGGGUAGCCGGCCUGAGAGGGCGACCGGCCAAAUUGGGACUGGGAUACGGCCCGGGCCCCUACGGGGGGAAGGAGGGGGGAAUUUUGCCAAAUGGGCGGAAGCCUGAUGGAGCAACGCCGGGUGGGGGAUGACGGCCUUCGGGUUGUAAACCGCUUUAGGGAGGGGCGAAGCUUUUGGGACGGUACCGGAAGAAGAAGCACCGGCAAACUACGG
rnacentral:rRNA from 1 species